rnacentral:rRNA from 1 species
AUUGAACGCUGGCGGCAUGCCUUACACAUGCAAGUCGAACGGCAGCGCGGACUUCGGUCUGGCGGCGAGUGGCGAACGGGUGAGUAAUACAUCGGAACGUACCCUGUUGUGGGGGAUAACUAGUCGAAAGAUUAGCUAGUACCGCAUACGACCUGAGGGUGAAAGUGGGGGACCGCAAGGCCUCACGCAGCAGGAGCGGCCGAUGUCUGAUUAGCUAGUUGGUGGGGUAAAGGCCCACCAAGGCGACGAUCAGUAGCUGGUCUGAGAGGACGAUCAGCCACACUGGGACUGAGACACGGCCCAGACUCCUACGGGAGGCAGCAGUGGGGAAUUUUGGACAAUGGGGGCAACCCUGAUCCAGCAAUGCCGCGUGUGUGAAGAAGGCCUUCGGGUUGUAAAGCACUUUUGUCCGGAAAGAAAUGGCUCUGGUUAAUACCUGGGGUCGAUGACGGUACCGGAAGAAUAAGGACCGGCUAACUACGUGCCAGCCGCCGCCGUAA